UUACACUCAUCUAAUACACAACUAACUUCACAAUGAUCUGAGGAAUGGGGUGAAGUUCAUUUUCUGUGUUUUCUGACCCUCGCUGUGAUUCUCGUCCUCUCAGGUUGGGUGUACGCCUUCGACAAGAUAAACACACUGAACCUGAACACACCAUACGACUACAACUCCGUCAUGCAGUACCACAGGUAUGCCUUCAGUGGGAACAAUAUGCCCACCAUGGUGCCGAUCCCCAACGCCAACGUAGAGUUCGGCACGGCCAAUCAGAUGAGCAGGAACGACAUCAGCAGACUGAACACGCUGUACAAAUGUUGAAAGGUGGUGAAGAAACCCUGAGGACAUGGGGCCA